rnacentral:rRNA from 1 species
UACGUAGGGUGCAAGCGUUAAUCGGAAUUACUGGGCGUAAGCGUGACGCAGGCGGUCCGUUAAGACAGAUGUGAAAUCCCCGGGCUUAACCUGGGAACUGCAUUUGUGACUGCAUAGCUAGAGUACGGUAGAGGGGGAUGGAAUUCCGCGUGUAGCAGUGAAAUGCGUAGAUAUGCGGAGGAACACCGAUGGCGAAGGCAAUCCCCUGGACCUGUACUGACGCUCAUGCACGAAAGCGUGGGGAGCAAACGAGGAUACGAA